rnacentral:rRNA from 1 species
GACGAACGCUGGCGGCGUGCUUAACACAUGCAAGUCGAACGGAAAGGCCCUGCUUUUGUGGGGUGCUCGAGUGGCGAACGGGUGAGUAACACGUGAGUAACCUGCCCUUGACUUUGGGGUAACUUCAGGAAACUGGGGCUAAUACCAGAUAGGAGCUCCUGCUGCAUGGUGGGGGUUGGAACGUUUCGGCGGUUGGGGAUGGACUCGCGGCUUAUGAGCUUGUUGGUGGGGUAGUGGCUUACCAAGGCUUUGACGGGUAGCCGGCCUGAGAGGGUGACCGGCCACAAUGGGACUGAGAUACGGCGCAGACUCCUACGGGAGGCAGCAGUGGGGAAUAUUGCACAAUGGGAGGAAGCCUGAUGCAGCAACGCCGCGUGCGGGAUGACGGCCUUCGGGGUGUAAACCGCUUUCGCCUGUGACGAAGCGUGAGUGACGGUAAUGGGUAAAGAAGCACCGGCUAACUACGUG